rnacentral:lncRNA from 1 species
CCCACUGAAGGUCAACUGGAGUCAGAGGACAAGAAACAGGAUGAAGGAAAGAAGACUGGACAGGAGGAAGAGAGAUGCAUAGUGAGAUGGGUUCCAGAGGUUCGGAGAGAGACAGGGCCUUGCUCUGUCACCCAGGCUGAAAUGCAGUGUUGCAAUCUUGGCUCGCUGUAGCCUCAAGCUCUUGGACUCAGGCGAUUCUCCUAUCUCAGCUUCCUAAGUAGCUGGGACUACAGGGCUCAGUGUGGUCAAAAGAAGACUAUAGAAUCAAGGAUGAAGAGAAGGAACACAGAAUAAAAGGACGUCUCAGCAGGAAGCUCUGUGACUACUAUGUCAAAUGAUGCCAUACAGUGAAGCACCUUGAAAGAUUGCUGGGAUAAGCUGACAGCAUGGCAGCCAAAAUAGUGACCCCAGGCUUGCAGGAAUUCUGUGCUUUCUGGAGGAAAUGGUCAUGGGUUUCCCAACCUGCCUUUUAAACUAAGGACCGAGCUGAAGAAGCCCCCGUCUUCCAGCGCAUGUUAUUCCCAUGACAGAUGCUAAAAGUUCAAGGGGAGAGCUACAAGAAGUGCGUUUUCCUGUGGCUACUUUCAUGUCUGGAUGCAAUGCCUAGACCUGCAUCCAUCUUGCGACCAACCUGAAGAUGAACAGAAAGGAAGGAAGGAUGGCCCAAUAGCCUGGGAAGAACUGGUGUUCCUGAUACCAUCAUUAACCACAGAAUCUACAAUCCCGGAACCCCCCAUCCUUAACCAUGGAAUCUACAAUCCUAUCUCUAGACCCUUUGUCCAGAUGCUACAGUUUCUUUGUUCAAUCUAGUUUGUGUCAGGAUUUCUGUUCAUUACAUCAAAAGUAUUCUAAUACUUGUAGCAAAGCAACUGGAGAAGUUUUCACUUUGUCUUUAACCAAAGAAGACUUCCAGGAAACAUCUCCUCAGUGGGUUUCUCCCUCACCACUGGAUUUUUAUCUCUGUACUAGUGCUUUGAUUUGUUUUAGGAGUCUCACCUCUCCACCUGUCAUAUUUCCCUGGCAGGCUCAUUUCUGCUAAUGCCCACAAUAUGUGUAUCAAUGAGCUUUCAACGUUAGGUACACAGCUCUUCAGGCAUGUAUAGCACAUUAAUCUGUCUGCUUCUAAGUGGUCUGUUGACAUGUUUGGGUGCCAGUUAUAUCUACAAGGCUGUGAUCAUUGUCCUGGGUUAUUCUGUUUGUUCUCUCUGCAGGAUGCAUUAGGACACCCAAGGCCAUGGCCAUCACUUACAUCUAGGAUUCAAUCUUAUCUCCUGUGAAUCACUGGAAACCUCCUGUCCUGGAACCCUUUUUUUCCACAUCCCACUGGAUGUCAUUCAUAGCAACUGGUCUUGUGGGUUGUCUAUUUUAUUGUGUUGUCUUACUCUUCCUCCUGGUAUCAGUUUUUAAAUCCUCUUGAUGAGAUCAGCUGAUCAGUCGCUAAGCAACAUAGUCCCCCAUGUCUUUGUAAGAUUCUCUGCACUCAUGGCUAGAAUGAUUUAUUCUGGUAUCUUAAGCUGUGUUUCAGAACCUCAUUCUAAAUAUCAACCUAUUCUUGUAAGUCCACUACUGAUCAUCUUUAGAUAUUCUUCAGUCUUCCAGAGUUCCAAAGGGCAGUAGGAAGAAGCAAUGAAAAUACCACCUGUAUUCUCACAUCUUUCAUUGUUCCACUCAAAAAAUACCACCAUGUUCACUUCUGGUGGAACGUUUAUGUCCAUGAGAAGCAGUGGCUUUGAAGAGUUUUGGCAGACUAUGGCGCCUUACUCAACAUUGGGAAGGGGGGUUCCAACUCUUUUAAGGUCUCAUCUUCAGCACUUCUAAACUGUGGGAAACUAUGUGAAAACAAAUGGAGUGGCCAAACACACCAUUCAUCACUGUGCUUCUGGACAGCUGCAAGUCCAUACGUGUUCUGAUAAUUCAAUACAAGAAAGAAGAUUUGCUUGGGAAGGUCUGAAUGGCCCUAGCUUUGUUUGUUAACCAUAACCUCUACCAGCUGGAAACACAAUGCCCCACUAAUACUAACAGUGCCUGCUUGUCCAAACAGCAUUCUGGCCACUUACAGCAAUUGACACAAAUUCUAACAGGUAGAUGGGGCAAAGCAUUACCUUGUGUAAAACUGCUGCUAAAAUAUAUUCCUAGUGAGAAAGGUCAACUUGUGGGCUAAAGUCCUUGUCACCUCCUGAUCAGUUUUCACUUAGGGCACAGCAGUCUGCCAUUCACCAUUGGGAUCUCUGUGUGUUUCUUCUCUCUUAUGAAAGGACAUAUUGAGCGCUCUAGGACUUGGCUGCCUACAUCAAGUAGAGGGGGACCCUCAUGAUUCACUAAGGGGCCUCAGUUCUGAAUAUUUCUCAUUAUUCAAAAAUGCAAAGCCAUUGUCAUUACGUGGCAGUUUAUUGGAACCAAGGGAGGAAUUGGUCCCUUUUCAUGUUCUUCUCCUAAAUAGAGAAAAGGUAAUUAAAACUUGGAGCUUAAU